AGUUCUCCCUGAGACUUUAAGUCUCCUGAAGGAACGUUGAAGACGACGACGUUGAUAGGCCGGGUGUGUAAGCGCAGCGAUGCGUUGAGCUAACCGGUACUAAUGAACCGUGAGGCUUAACCUUACAACGCCGAAGGUGUUU
rnacentral:rRNA from 1 species